AUGCCCGAUAGGAGUGACUUUGUUGGUUUGGAGGCCUUGGCCCAGCCAGACAGUAACAAUAUGAUUUAGGGUGGAGGCUUUGAGUUAUUCGUUCCAUAUAAGCUUGACCUUCUGAGGAGCUGGAUACUGAGAUCACUCUUAUGAGCAGUCAGCCAUGCUUACCCUACUCCUACCAUGAUGAAGCCCCAUUAAAGACUGGACACCAAGAUUUGUUCCUUGUUGGCAGUACCCCAUGCGUUUUGUCACACAUUGAUGCUAGGGAAGUACUGCUUUUCCUGACUCCACGGGGAGAGGAAAACAGAAGCUCCACGCUUCGGCCUUUUUCCUGGAUUCUGCUGUAUGUGCUUCUUCUCUUGGCUGAUUUUGAUCCAUAUCCUUUCCUUGUAAUAUACCGUAACUGGAUUGGUAGGAGCUGUUCGUGCUUAGGCAUAGCCCCCUGUAGAUUUUUCUUGUAGAUCCACUACUGUUGCCUUGAAGUUUGAAGUGUUGCAGUAUGCCAGAGAGAGUGACACCUGUGAAACUAUGGUGCAAAUUAAAUACAAAGAAGAUUUUGACUGUAGGUUUGAGCACACAGAAGAGGAACCAAAUGUCACCAGCACUGUGUGGUACAGUGUGCUUACUUUUCCACAGAGAAAUCACAGUCACUAAAGUAAACCCAGUAAUAGAGAAUGCCCUCACAUCCCUGCAAAACUUUUAUAUUAUAUUUAGA